rnacentral:rRNA from 1 species
GCGUGCGGUGCUAUACUGCAGUCGACGCUUCUUUUUCCCCGGAGCUUGCUCCACCGGAAAAAGAGGAGUGGCGAACGGGUGAGUAACACGUGGGUAACCUGCCCAUCAGAAGGGGAUAACACUUGGAAACAGGUGCUAAUACCGUAUAACAAUCAAAACCGCAUGGUUUUGAUUUGAAAGGCGCUUUCGGGUGUCGCUGAUGGAUGGACCCGCGGUGCAUUAGCUAGUUGGUGAGGUAACGGCUCACCAAGGCCACGAUGCAUAGCCGACCUGAGAGGGUGAUCGGCCACAUUGGGACUGAGACACGGCCCAAACUCCUACGGGAGGCAGCAGUAGGGAAUCUUCGGCAAUGGACGAAAGUCUGACCGAGCAACGCCGCGUGAGUGAAGAAGGUUUUCGGAUCGUAAAACUCUGUUGUUAGAGAAGAACAAGGAUGAGAGUAACUGUUCAUCCCUUGACGGUAUCUAACCAGAAAGCCACGGCUAACUACGUGCCAGCAGCCGCGGUAAUACGUAGGUGGCAAGCGUUGUCCGGAUUUAUUGGGCGUAAAGCGAGCGCAGGCGGUUUCUUAAGUCUGAUGUGAAAGCCCCCGGCUCAACC